rnacentral:rRNA from 1 species
AUUGAACGCUGGCGGCAGGCCUAACACAUGCGAGUCGAGCGGAUGAAGGGAGCUUGCUCCUGGAUUCAGCGGCGGACGGGUGAGUAAUGCCUAGGAAUCUGCCUGGUAGUGGGGGAUAACGUCCGGAAACGGGCGCUAAUACCGCAUACGUCCUGAGGGAGAAAGUGGGGGAGCUUCGGACCUCACGCUAUCAGAUGAGCCUAGGUCGGAUUAGCUAGUUGGUGGGGUAAAGGCCUACCAAGGCGACGAUCCGUAACUGGUCUGAGAGGAUGAUCAGUCACACUGGAACUGAGACACGGUCCAGACUCCUACGGGAGGCAGCAGUGGGGAAUAUUGGACAAUGGGCGAAAGCCUGAUCCAGCCAUGCCGCGUGUGUGAAGAAGGUCUUCGGAUUGUAAAGCCCUUUAAGUUGGGAGGAAGGGCAGUAAGUUAAUACCUUGCUGUUUUGACGUUACCAACAGAAUAAGCACCGGCUAACUUCGUG